rnacentral:rRNA from 1 species
UACGUAGGGUGCAGGCGUUAAUCGGAAUUACUGGGCGUAAAGCGUGCGCAGGCGGUUGUGCAAGACAGAUGUGAAAUCCCCCGGGCUUAACCUGGGAACUGCAUUUGUGACUGCACGGCUAGAGUGUGUCAGAGGGGGGGUAGAAUUCCACGUGUAGCAGUGAAAUGCGUAGAUAUCCGAAGGAACAUCAGUGGCGAAAGCGGCUUCCUGGACCAGAACUGACGAUCAGGCACGAAAGCGUGGGGAGCAAACAGG